rnacentral:rRNA from 1 species
GUGGGGAAUAUUGGACAAUGGGCGAAAGCCUGAUCCAGCCAUGCCGCGUGUGUGAAGAAGGUCUUCGGAUUGUAAAGCACUUUAAGUUGGGAGGAAGGGCAGUAAGUUAAUACCUUGCUGUUUUGACGUUACCGACAGAAUAAGCACCGGCUAACUUCGUGCCAGCAGCCGCGGUAAUACGAAGGGUGCAAGCGUUAAUCGGAAUUACUGGGCGUAAAGCGCGCGUAGGUGGUUUUGUAAGUUGGAGGUGAAAUCCCCGGGCUCAACCUGGGAACUGCCUCCAAAACUGCAUGACUAGAGAACGGUAGAGGGUAGUGGAAUUUCCUGUGUAGCGGUGAAAUGCGUAGAUAUAGGAAGGAACACCAGUGGCGAAGGCGACUACCUGGACUGAUACUGACACUGAGGUGCGAAAGCGUGGGGAGCAAACAGGAUUAGAUACCCUUGUAGUCC